AGAGUUUGAUCAUGGCUUACAGGACAACGCUGGCGGCGUGCUUAACACAUGCAAGUCGAACGGUGAGGGGGAGCUUGCUCCCCGGAUCAGUGGCGAACGGGUGAGUAACACGUGGGCAACCUGCCCCAGACUUCGGGAUAACGCUUCGAAAGAGGUGCUAAUACCGGAUACGAACUCCUUGGGCAUCCCGGGAGUUGGAAAGUUUUUCGGUCUGGGAUGGGCCCGCGGCCUAUCAGCUUGUUGGUGAGGUAACGGCUCACCCAAAGGCGACGACGGGUAGUCGGCCUGAGAGGGCGACCGGCCACACUGGGACUGAGACACGGCCCAGACUCCUACGGGAGGCAGCAGUGGGGAAUAUUGCGCAAUGGGCGAAAGCCUGACGCAGCAACGCCGCGUGAGGGAUGACGGCCUUCGGGUUGUAAACCUCUUUCAGCAGGGAAGAAGCGAAAGUGACGGUACCUGCAGAAGAAGCACCGGCUAACUACGUG
rnacentral:rRNA from 1 species